rnacentral:tRNA from 1 species
UCCCUGGUGGCUCAGAGGAUAAAGCGUCUGCCUGCAAUGCAGGAGACUUGGGUUCAAUCCCUCGGUUGGGAA